rnacentral:rRNA from 1 species
AUGCUUAUUUGGCACAUCGCAACUGAGUACCGCAAUAUUGCAUCUUCCGAUGGGGCAGAAGAGGGGCUUCAAAGUGAUGAACAGCAAGUUGCCACCACUUUAUCCAAGUAUUGUGCCUACUUAAUGUACUUCCUCCCAGAAUUGCUUGUUGAGAACUCUACAGACACAUUAUUCAUUGUCCAUGACUUGCUGAAGGAAGUACAGAGUGCGCUGGGUAGUGGCAAACCGACUAAGAAUAAGUUGCUGCGUGUCAUUCAGGAUUCUGAAAGCAUCAGGGGCAACCAGGAUCAAACUGUCGACCAUGUUUCCGACGACCCCGACAACCACGUUACCUUAAUCGACAUUCCUCCAGUAGUCAGCAACACAGAUGACAUCAUCCAGGAAUCCAGUGGCAGCAGCAACAACAACGAUGCUACCAUCGCCCAAGACUCUGGCACCAACAACAAUGAAGAUGGCAUCUUCAUCCAAGGAUUGAAGCUAGGAAUGAAGCUGGAGGAGAAAGGUGUCAGUUGGAAGGUGAUGGCGGAAUUCUGGGCUGAGACCAUCAUCUACAUCGCUCCAUCGGACAAAGCCACGGAGCACAUGGAACGCCUUGCGCAAGGAGGGGAAUUUCUUACCCAUGUCUGGGCUCUCCUCACGCACGCAGGCAUCGUGAAGCGCGACCAAGUGGUGCCCAAGCUAGAGCAGACACCAAUCCCAGAUGCUCGUGUGUAG